AUGCCGGGUUACAAGGGGACCAUCACAGUGCAUGGAAGUCAGAAGAUAGCUUUGGAGUGUGAAGAAGGUGAUGCUGCUGAUGCUGAGUCUGUCUGUGCAACAGAAGAGUUGAAGUUUUACAAGGACGCCAAACCCAAGAAAGACCAUAUCAACUACUCUCCAAAUAGCAGGAUAAAUCAUGGAAUUCAAAUGGAAGAUAGAAAGAGAAGGCAAUUCAAACCUAAUGGCCAAAUGAUCCAAGACGGAAAUACUUAUGGACAUAAAAGAAUAACAAGAGAAUGAAAACAACUCCAUAUUCUACUGGCCUGCCUCUCUGAUCUACUAUCCAACUGCCAUGGAAGCACCACUAAAGACUGGCUUCUCUGACCUUCCACCCGAUCCUGGACGAUUCCUGGUCGACAAGCCGACGGUGUGGAUUCCCUAUAUAUGGAUGGUAGGAACGCUUCAACUGCAGAGCCCUGA
rnacentral:rRNA from 1 species